CGUCCCUUGUACUUUGGGAUAACUUCAGGAAACUGGGGCUAAUACCGGAUAGGAGCUCCUGCUGCAUGGUGGGGGUUGGAAAGUUUCGGCGGUUGGGGAUGGACUCGCGGCUUAUCAGCUUGUUGGUGGGGUAGUGGCUUACCAAGGCUUUGACGGGUAGCCGGCCUGAGAGGGUGACCGGCCACAUUGGGACUGAGAUACGGCCCAG
rnacentral:rRNA from 1 species